ensembl:snRNA U6 U6 spliceosomal RNA
AUGCCCAUUUUGGCAGUAUAUAUACUAAAAUUGGAACAAUAUAGAGAAGAUUACCAUGACCUCUAAUCAAGGAAGGUAUCCAAAUUCAUGAGGCGUUCCCCAUUUUU